UUCUGAAUUGAUGUUGAGGGUUCUGUA
rnacentral:sRNA from 1 species